rnacentral:rRNA from 1 species
UGGGGAAUAUUGGACAAUGGGCGAAAGCCUGAUCCAGCCAUGCCGCGUGUGUGAAGAAGGUCUUCGGAUUGUAAAGCACUUUAAGUUGGGAGGAAGGGCAGUAAAUUAAUACUUUGCUGUUUUGACGUUACCGACAGAAUAAGCACCGGCUAACUCUGUGCCAGCAGCCGCGGUAAUACAGAGGGUGCAAGCGUUAAUCGGAAUUACUGGGCGUAAAGCGCGCGUAGGUGGUUCGUUAAGUUGGAUGUGAAAUCCCCGGGCUCAACCUGGGAACUG